GGAAAAACAAUAGAGGAGAGAGAAAAGAAAGAACACACAUUUAACUAUUAGCUACUUGGUGCGAUUACGAAAGACUAAAGUUCGGUAACUAGAAAUAUAUUACGGUGAGUAUUACUAAUACUUUGAUAAUCUAGUCAAAGGAAAGCUAGAAGCGACAUCUGAGUGCUGAACCCUUCCCCGGUUUAGUAACUUUGUUUAAUAAAUGUCACUCAAAGGCUCCCUUUGAUUUUUUGUUCAUCAUGAAUGAGGUUUUUAACCCAUUUUUGGUUCUUAUUUUUUACUUAAACAAACAAUAAUAUUUCCUAUUUCUUUUCAACCUUUCGACGUCCGAAAACUAUAUUUAAUUUGCAUUUUAAAGUUUUAUAACACGCAUAAGCCGAACGAUUAUUUUUUUAACAAUUCUAUAAAAAACAUCCGUUUUAUAAUUAAUUUGAAAAAUGAAAUAAAAGAAGAAAAAACGACGUUUAAAAAAUAAAAACUGCGCUCAAACUGCUAAAUUGUGAAAAAAAGUAUGUUGAACAACCUGAUUAACAAUGACAACAGAUCUAAACAUUAUUAACGCAAAUUACAACAAAUAUAAUAAAAUGUCUAACCAUCAUACUGGUUGUAUCGGAGAGUUGAAAGAAGUUGAUGCAAAUGUUGAACCUUCAUCGACAAAGACUAUUAUUAGACAUGUGUCAAACUAUUUGUAAUCCGUGUAACAUGUGUAUGCUAGGCAUUUUAACAUGGAAAGGGACAUUUUCCCUUAAUGCAGAAAGUCAGCGUCCCCCUCUACGAUAGGGAAAUAAGCGAAACAUCGGCAAUAAUUAUCGUGGUAUCAAAGACAAAGAAGCUGUUUCGAAAAUAUUUGAGCUUGAGCAAACCUCUGAAAAGAUUCCACUGCGAGGAAACGGUUCAAGUGGCAACCUAAAAUAGCAUCAGGGGCUAGAGCCCCCCGGAUCCGUUUUAUCAACCGUCGAUGGGAAACUUAUACAUAUUCAGGACAAUCAUCUGCGGCCGAAUAAGUGAUGAACUUACCAUGCGUAAAAAUUACUUUAACAAAGCCCACACAAAUUCUGCGACCUAAGAAAUCCUGAAAAAUCUUAAAGCAGCGUUGCCAAAUGGGGAUGAAAUAAAACUUACAGCCACCAACACUAACAAAGCUAAAAGAUUCGCUGGGUGUUACGGCUGAGUCAUCCGAAUAAAAGAUUCUACUUUCGAUCAAGUUGUGGUGACAUUGAAGGCAUUCUUUGGACGGUAUUCAGCAAAUGAUAGGAACGGCUGCAGUUAGUCAAGGAAAAAGCUGUCACGUACACUCAACCCGCUCGGCGAAGAAUUGGAACUGCAGGAGCUUUCAGUUGACCAAUUCAAUAGCCUGCUGUUCAUCUGCGGUUUGAAAUCAGCAAAGGAUGCCGAUGUCAGGAUUGGAUGCCGAUGUCAAGUUUGGACUAUGUCAGGAUUGUAAUUCAAGAAAUAAUCAAACAGCCGCUUUUUUAUUGCUUUAUUUAAGUGAUGUCAGAUUGACUAAUCAAACAGCCACACAAAAGCAAUAUCAGUGAAUGGUAAAACUCCCCCAAAAAAGAAAUGUUGAAAAUUGGAAUUUAUAUUCAAAAAAUGCCCGUUCGUUUUCGGUAAGGGGCCUCAUCACUGAAGUGUGGUGUUCGGGAGGGCGAUAAGAGUAUUAAACUUCGUAGAACAAACCGGGAUCCUUCAAGAAGCAAAAAAAAAAGGCUGGGUGGUCGUACUUGGGACACCUGCAAAUAAAGUGUUCCACGCUGUUUUCGGUUCAGAGAUCAUAACGGGACCGGAAGUUGUGGGAGACCCUUGUUUGGCUCGAUAUCCCCUGUUGUUUUUUGGAGUAGCUGGGAACCGAUCCUUUGACUUUCCUCAAAGAGAGUCCUCUGCUAUUGGUCCAAGUACGAGCCCAGUCCUGGCCGACGACGCUCUUCGUCCAUUUCUUAACGUCGGCCAGCGGGACGGAGCGAGUGUAGACCCCCGUAUCCGACACUGGCCAGGGCAUCGGCUUGGGUAAUUCCCCUAAUGCCGCAUCGGCCGGGGAUCCAGGCGAAGGUGGUACCGGGGAUCAUACUGAAAGGAUUCCUUGGAUUCAGGGGUGUUUCGGAGUCUCACAUUGAAAGGCGGAAAUAACACUUGCGGAGUCCGUGAAGACCACGAUUGGCUUGUUCGCCGGGAGGGUGGUCGCAACAAAAACGGAGGCGGCUUCAGCGGAAAAUAUAUUGCACUGGCGAGGUAGGCUCUCCGAUUCGGCCAGAUUAGGUCCACAGACUCCAAAGUCAACUCCUCGGCUGAAGACGAACCCGUCGGUAUACCGAAUCUUACUAUUUUGGAAGCGUGUUGCAAUGAGUUCGAGUGCGGAUCUUCGGAGCUCAUCUGUGUUAUCGCGUCUUUUGAACCGGGAGGCAAUGGUGCGGUGGAUGUUAACAUGAGGCAAUAGCCAGCCCUUUGAUCCGUGCCAGUGAACCCGCGCCACUUGGGGAGACUGGUACCGGCUACACUUCUCAGGGUUCGUUCAGCCUCGUCGAGGAGAGGGGUCCUGUCAUCUCCUGAGGUGGCAGAAGCGAAAGAGGCGGCUUUGCGACAGAUGGCCAUCAAAAACCGAUGCCGGACAGGAAAAAUGCCGGCAUCAACGAAGGCAGCUUCAACGGGGGUAGACCGGAGGCCAAUCGGACGUAGCUGUUGAAAACAGGCCAGAGAGUGUCGAUGAGGUUCCGGUAGACAGGAUAAGUUGGGCCGUAAAACAAACGGCUGUCGACGAUAGCUUGCCCGACUUUUAGUCUGGUACUCCUAUUAUUGGUACGGUGUUUUUUCGAGAGGGUUUUAAUGAGACUAAUGCUGGAUUUACAUGCUACCUUCACUACCCGGAAGUGCGGUAAAAAGGUUAGUCUCCUGGGGAUGGCAUCCGUGUCGAGUUUUAUGAAGAUUCCUGCUAGCAGAUGCCGUCCGCUGCAGAUGUGUCCCGGACACACAUACUGGCGUUCAUAACAAAGCCGACAGAUGAAGCCCAGCGAUGAAUGGAACUUACCGUCGCCUGAGUCUUAAUCCUGGUCCUUCCAGGCGUUCUGCCGACCACGACCUAAAAUGUCGUCGGCGUAUACAAAUAGAUGUUUGUUCGCUGGUAGAACGCUGAAAACCCUGCCCAUAGAGAUGGCCGAUGAGGAAAAGCGUCACCGCUAGGGCCGACUCUUGGGGACGCCAAUUUCUUCAGGGUACUCGUCCGAUGCUUUACCGCCAAUUAGCACUUGGAAGGUUCGUCAGGUGAAGAAGUUUUUUACGAAAGCAAGCAUGUUGUCUAUAAUAACACCAGUUUUGUAUUUUUUAAGGACCGAAGGUCCUUCUUGAAUCACAUUGCCCAGGUUGGCAAAGUACAUAUCUGCCGUAAUCUAAAAAAGUGACGUAUACGCCAUUUUCCGGCGUUAACGAGUACUACUCAUCGAGCUCUUUAACAGAAAAAUGGAAAACAUGCAUGUUGUAAAAUAGCUAUUACGUCACUUUUCCAGGCUACGGCAGAUAUGUGCUGGUGCCAUAACCGAAGGCGAAGAUCGUGUUGACGGUAGCCAAACGGUAGCUUCCGUCGGCUUCCAGUUUCUCCCUGAGUCGCCGAUUGACCAUCCUCUCGACGGUUUUAGAUGCACACGAGGUCAGGGAGAUUGGCCUGAACUUGGAUGCAUCACGGCUAGUCACGCUGCUCUCCUGCUGCUCGUCCGGAUGAGUUCCCGUUGCACUUAGCAAGUGCAUAGGCCAACUCGCAUACUAAAAAGUGCUGGUUCAGCAGGCAGCCGGGGUGGUCCGCGAGAAUAAGGGUAAUGUUGAGUUGUAGACUACGAGUAGCGAUAGUCCUCCAGAAUUCGGCUGGGUACCAGGGUGGCGAAGUAGUCACCGAGAGCAUUGGCAACUUGUGCAGGGUUAGAAAUUGUGCGAUUGCCCUGAUUGAGGUGGAGGGAAGCCGUCUUCGAUUUUCCACUAAUUACAUUUACCCGCCUCCAAGGUUCGUAGGAGGUCAGAGACGGGUUGAUGCUGUCAAUGAAAUCCUCCCAUUGCUUGGACUUCGCCGUCAGGACUAAUGGGGUAGUCGCUGCUGAGCCUCCUAAGAGCACGUAAGGCCUUGCGUCUGGCUUCAAUAGCGUGCCGAGUUUCUUCGGUCCACCACCAAAGUGUUCGACGACCGAGACGGCCACUGGAUUGGGGGAUAGCUUGUUGGGCGGCGGCGAGAAUCGUGCCGGUGAACUCGGUGAGCGACGAGAACCGACAACAUAGCGCAUUCGUACUCCUACCAAUCCGUUUCACCAUAUUUCCAUCGGCGACUCUUGAUGUCCACGCGAUGGAAGCGUUGGUGGAACUCUGCACCGGAUAGUGGUAACUACCGUACAGAUCGGUGCCGGCUUUCAGGAGAAGCGCGGCAGAAUUGACCUAUCUACCGCAGAAACAUCGAUGGCUGUGGUGAGCUGCCCGUUGAAGAAGGUGGGGGACCCGUCAUUGAGCGUGACGAGGUCACCUUCCGUGAAUGAUUCCGCUAGAACGGAGCCUCGAGGGUCGGACCUGGACCCUCCCCACAUAGGAUAGUAGGCGUUCGUAUCCCCAAGGAUAAGUCAAGGGAGUAGCGUUGUCAAUAAGGUUGCUUACCUUAGCGUUUACGGCGGGGAAGGCGCCACAAGGGAUAUACACAUUGAUAAUGGUGAUUGGCAUACUUCCGUGUAGCCGAACACCCACAGCCGGCAGGUCUUCUUCAAUGUCAAGGACGUCGAUGGGGAUAUCCUGUAGUACCCCGAUGACUACGGAGUGCGUAAAGUUGUUCCCAACCUUGCUUGGUCCAACGGUAUUUGCCUCCGAGGGUCCGAUCCAUGAAGGUGUUGGAUACGCGGUUAACCUCUUGGAGAGCAAUGGUCCAUAGCAAGUUGUGGUGGACCAGCAGCACGAGGUUUUGAAGGUUGUUCCUUGAAACUUGACCUCCUCGUACAGCCGAAAGUGGAAGAGGAACAGUGGGAGAGGGACUUAUUACCCGGGUUGGAGUGCCCAGGGAGCCCAGGACGCUGAAAUUGUUGGGACUUCUGGGCCAGGUGGAGAUCCCCGGGUUACCCGGAACGCGGCCUUGUUGAGAGGGAGAGGUUCGAUCUGUUUCGAAGGCUCCUGAUUCGCGCUUAAUCGGAACCAAAAGUUCCUUUGAAGCUACGCUUUUCGCUUAUUCAGCUCAGUCAAGCUAAUUAAGCGAUAAACGUACUUUUAAAGGAACUUGUAAUUACUUAGGCGAGAAUACCAACUAGUUUGCGCUUGCUUCCCGUGAGGUGCAUCGGAUAAACAUCCAUCCGAUGCGUAUCUUCAAGUCGAAGUGGAUUUAAAAAAAAGUCCAUCCGUAAUCAGUGACUAAAAUAAAAAGCCCCCCUUAAAAAUUUAAUAUACAAAAAUAGGAAAAUGCC